UACGGAGGGUGCAAGCGUUAUUCGGAAUCACUGGGCGUAAAGGACGCGUAGGCGGGUUGGUAAGUCAGAUGUGAAAUCCUACAGCUUAACUGUAGAACUGCAUUUGAAACUACUAACCUAGAGUAUGGGAGGGGGAGAUGGAAUUAGUGGUGUAGGGGUAAAAUCCGUAGAUAUCACUAGGAAUACCGAAAGCGAAGGCGAUCUCCUGGAACAUAACUGACGCUAAGGCGUGAAAGCGUGGGGAGCAAACAGGAUUAGAUACCCUGGUAGUCCACGCCCUAAACGAUGAACACUAGUCGUCGGGAUGCUAGUCAUCUCGGUGAUGCACUUAACAGAUUAAGUGUUCCGCCUGGGGAGUACGGUCGCAAGAUUAAAACUCAAAGGAAUAGACGGGGACCCGCACAAGUGGUGGAGCAUGUGGUUUAAUUCGAAGAUACGCGAAGAGCCUUACCUAGCCUUGACAUUGAAGAAACACUUUAGAGAUAGAGUGGUGCCCUUCGGGGAAUCUGAAAACAGGUGCUGCACGGCUGUCGUCAGCUCGUGUCGUGAGAUGUUGGGUUAAGUCCCGCAACGAGCGCAACCCUCGUCCUUAGUUGCUAGCAGUUCGGCUGAGCACUCUAAGGAAACUGCCUUCGUAAGGAGGAGGAAGGUGAGGACGACGUC
rnacentral:rRNA from 1 species